rnacentral:rRNA from 1 species
CGCUGGCGGCGUGGAUAAGACAUGCAAGUCGGACGCUUGUAUUUUGUAGCAAUAUGAGGAUACGGGAGUGGCGAAAGGGUGCGUAACACGUGGGUAAUUUGUCUGAGAGUUCAGGAUAAUUCGCUGAAAGGCGGAGUAAUACUGGAUGUGGAUAUUGGCUGGGAACGGCUGAUAUCUAAAGCCGGGGACCGCAAGGCCUGGUGCUCUUAGGUAAGCCCGCGACCUAUCAGCUAGUUGGUGAGGUAAGAGCCCACCAAGGCGGAGACGGGUAGCUGGUCUGAGAGGACGACCAGCCACACUGGAACUGAGACACGGUCCAGACACCUACGGGUGGCAGCAGUCGAGAAUUUUUCUCAAUGAGGGAAACCCUGAAGGAGCGACGCCGCGUGGGGGAUGAAGGGCUUCGGCCUCGUAAACCCCUGUCAUUUGUGAGCAAGUGUUAUUGUUUAAGAGAUGAUGACAUUGAUAGUAGCAAAAGAGGAAGGGACGGCUAACUCUGUGCCAGCCGCUGC